GAUGAACGCUAGCUACAGGCUUAACACAUGCAAGUCGAGGGGAAACGACAUCGAAAGCUUGCUUUUGAUGGGCGUCGACCGGCGCACGGGUGAGUAACGCGUAUCCAACCUGCCCACCACCUGGGGAUAACCUUGCGAAAGUAAGACUAAUACCCAAUGACGUCUCUAGAAGACAUCUGACAGAGAUUAAAGAUUUAUCGGCGAUGGAUGGGGAUGCGUCUGAUUAGCUUGUGGGCGGGGUAACGGCCCACCAAGGCGACGAUCAGUAGGGGUUCUGAGAGGAAGGUCCCCCACAUUGGAACUGAGACACGGUCCAAACUCCUACGGGAGGCAGCAGUGAGGAAUAUUGGUCAAUGGGCGAGAGCCUGAACCAGCCAAGUAGCGUGCAGGAUGACGGCCCUAUGGGUUGUAAACUGCUUUUAUAAGGGAAUAAAGUGAGUCUCGUGAGACUUUUUGCAUGUACCUUAUGAAUAAGGACCGGCUAAUUCCGUGCCAGCAGCCGCCGUAA
rnacentral:rRNA from 1 species